GGGGUGCAGCAGGCGCGAAAACUUUACAAUGCUGGAAACAGCGAUAGGGGGACUUUGAGUGCCAGGAUACAAUUUUGGCUGUCGUAAUGCCUAAAAAGCAUUGCAUAGCAAGGGCCGGGCAAGACCGGUGCCAGCCGCCGCGGUAACACCGGCGGCUCGAGUGGUAACCGCUAUUAUUGGGUCUAAAGGGUCUGUAGCUGGCCGGAUAAGUCUCUUGGGAAAUCCGACAGCUUAACCGUCGGGCCUUCCGGAGAUACUGUCCGGCUCGAGACCCGCAGAGGCUAGAGGUACAUCAUGGGUAGGGGUGAAAUCUCGUGAUCCCUGAAGGAAUCACCAGUGGCGAAGGUGUCUCACCAGAACGGAUCUGACGGCAAGGGAUCGAAAGCUAGGGGCACGAACCGGAUGAGAUACCCGGGUAGUCCUAGCCGUAUAACGAUACCUCGCUAGGUGUCAACCACGGUGCGACCGUCGUUGGAGCCGUAGGGAAGCCGUGAAACGAGCCACCUCGGAAGUACGGCCGCAAGCAUGAAACUUAAAGGAAUCGGCGGGCGACCACAAGGGCGAAUCG
rnacentral:rRNA from 1 species